UUUCCCCCUUGCUGUUCUCGUGAUAGUGAGUGAGUUCUCAUGAGAUCUGGUUGUUUAAAAGUGUGUAGCACCGGUCUGCAGAAUCUGCACCAACGAGAACCAUGCCCAUGACACUGGGGUAUGGGGACAUUCACGGGCUGGCACAUGCCAUCCGCCUGCUCCUUGAAUACACAGACUCAAGCUACAAGGAAAAGAAGUACACGAUGGGGGACUCUCCUGACUAUGACAGAAGCCAGUAGCUGAAUGAAAAAUUCAAGCUGGGCCUGGACUUUCCCAAUCUGCCCUACUUGUUUGAUGGGGCUCACAAGAUCACCCAGAGCAAUGACAUCCUGUGCCACAUUGCCCGCAAGAACAACCUGUGUGAGGAGACAGAAGAGGAGAAGAUUUGUGUGGACAUUUCAGAGAACCAGACUGUAGACAACCUGAUGCAGCUGGCCAUGAUCUGCUAUAUCCCAGAAUUUGAGAAACUGAAGCCAAAGUACCUGGAGGAACUCCCUGAAAAGCUAAAGCUCUACUCACAGUUUCUGGGGAAGUGGCCAUGGUUUGCAGGAGACAAGAUCACCUUUGUGGAUUUCCUUGCCUAUGACAUCCUUGACCUGAACUGUAUAUUUGACCCCAGCUGCCUGGACGCCUUCCCAAACCUGAAGGACUUCAUCUCCCGAAUUGAGGGUUUGAAGAAGAUCUCUGCCUACAUGAAGUCCAGCCAAUGCCUCCGAGGUCCUUUGGGAAGUCAGCUACGUGGAACAGCAAAUAG